rnacentral:lncRNA from 1 species
CUUGAACCAUGUCCCACCAAAAGAUGUACUGACAUUCUAACCCCCAAUGCCCAGGAUGUGACCUUAUUUGAAAAUAAAGUCGUUGAAAUCAAGUUAUAAUUAAAGACAGGAGUCAUCCUGGAAUAGGAUAGGCCCUUCGUCCAAUGUGACUGUUGUUCUUAUAAGAAGAGGGAAAUUUGGACACAGAGUGAACAUCAUGAGAAGACACAGAUAACAGAAGACAUGAAGACUGGCAGAAGUCAGAGUGACGCAUCUGCAAGCCAAGAAACACCAAGAAUUGCUGUCACUGAAGCGAGGAGAGCGACGGGCAGCGGGCUCUCCUCAGAGCUCCUGGAUGCAGUCCUGCUGACGUUUUGAUUUCAGGCGUCUAACGCCAGAAUUCUGACAGGAUAAAUCUAUUCUCUAGACUGAAUCUCUGUUGUUAGUGAUAUUUCAUUACCACCGCCCUUGCAAACCAACACAAGAUAGGAAAAGGAUAUUUCUAUAUUUGAGAAGACUUUUAGACAUCCUUGUGGAGAUAUCAAGUAGCAAUUUGAUCUGAGUCUAGAAUAAGGGUAUAUAAACGAAUGCUUCACACAUUCUUGAGGUACUUUAAAUGAUUUUUUAAAUAUUAUGUAUAAAGUGGUGGCCUAAGAGGGGAAUAUAAUACAUAAACGAUGGACGGACAUUCCAUGAAAUAUUAUGCCACCUCAAAAAAGAAUCAUUAUAAAGCCAGUGGUGCCACUAUAUAAUAACUAGGUAAAGGAUGAGGAGCAGGCACCAAACCACCUGGGUUCCAAUCACAGUUCCAACUCUCCCGAAUGGGCUGAGCUAAGAUGCAGGUCACUAUCCCGCAGGCUGUGUUUGUUCACUAUAUUUGCAGUGGAAGGGUAAAUGGACGCAAGGCUGAGUUGAAAAAGUGCUGAGAAUAACAGAACAAAGAAGUGAUGAGAGCUGGAAUCGAAUUCAGCAAGGAAAACUUCCUGGAAUUGCUGACGUUUGCAAACUAAGUGCCCGGCCUGCUUGCCAUGGGCCUGACAUCACGGUAACAUCAAAGGGCAGACUCCGUCAAGAGUAAAGAAGAGUCGGAACUAGAAGCCAGACAGUUUGACACCAGCUUCUUAUCUGUUACAGUUAUUGCUAGGGGCAACCACUGGCUUUAUAGUGGUUCUUGCAAGAGGUAGAAGAAUACUUCCAUCAUAUAUGUGAAGGCUCCAAUAAGCGCUCUCUGUGAACACACCUGUGCCGGAGCUCUGGCUACCCACAGCCUUCUGAUGGCUUAUCCACAUUCCUCCAUCCCACCUUGAGCCCUGCAGGACAGGGGUCAUCCUAACCCCAAGGCCUGGCACAAGGUAGUUAUAAAUUACAGUCAGCAGCAUCUCAUAGAAUCAGAAUGUGGUUGUCAUCCAAGACUUUGCAACAAAGGCACAUCGAUAUUAAGUCCCUCAACUUGACAACAUGAGAAUCAGAAGAUGGUAGUGGGAGAAGAUGACCUCUGAGAAAUGCAAAUCAAAACUACUCUGGGCUGGGGAUGUGGCUCAAGUGGUAACACGCUUACCUGGUAUGCUCAGGGCGCUGGGUUCGAUC